UUGUUCAUGUAGAUAUGCAAGACCUCUUGCUGUCCCAUAGAUUAUACCAAACCUUUGUUUCCAGCUUAAAGUUGUCGUUCUGUCACCCGAACUGAUCCAGGCUAUGAUUUUCCAUGUACUCAUGCACAAGGAAUAAGUGUGGGCCUUUUCUACAAUAUCCGAGUAGACGUAGAAGAUGCCGGUGGUGAACAUUACCUAAGAUCU
rnacentral:lncRNA from 1 species